rnacentral:tRNA from 1 species
GGGCGUGUAGCUCAGCUUGGAUAGAGCAUCGGACUCCUAAGCCGGAGGUCGGGGGUUCAAAUCCUCCCACGCCCG